rnacentral:rRNA from 1 species
GACGAACGCUGGCGGCGUGCCUAAUACAUGCAAGUAGAACGCUGAAGGAGGAGCUUGCUCUUCUGGAUGAGUUGCGAACGGGUGAGUAACGCGUAGGUAACCUGCCUGGUAGCGGGGGAUAACUAUUGGAAACGAUAGCUAAUACCGCAUAACAGUAGAUGUUGCAUGACAUUUGCUUAAAAGGUGCAAUUGCAUCACUACCAGAUGGACCUGCGUUGUAUUAGCUAGUUGGUGGGGUAACGGCUCACCAAGGCGACGAUACAUAGCCGACCUGAGAGGGUGAUCGGCCACACUGGGACUGAGACACGGCCCAGACUCCUACGGGAGGCAGCAGUAGGGAAUCUUCGGCAAUGGACGGAAGUCUGACCGAGCAACGCCGCGUGAGUGAAGAAGGUUGUCGGAUCGUAAAGCUCGGUUGUAAGAGAAGAACGAGUGUGAGAGUGGAAAGUUCACACUGUGACGGUAUCUUACCAGAAAGGGACGGCUAACUACGUG